rnacentral:hammerhead_ribozyme from 1 species
AUCCAGCUGACUGGUUCAAAAUAGGACGACACACACGUCCUGGAU